rnacentral:lncRNA from 1 species
GCGGCUUAAUUAGGGUUUUCCGGCAGGCGAACGUCGGAGAAGAAAUAGCGUUCGUAUUAACGCGGCGGCGAGGGUUUUGUAUUCGGAGUCUCCGAUUCAGGUUAAUGUUUUUAUAAUUUCUAAUUCUGGAGGGAAAUUUUCCAUUUUUAGCUCUAUCUAAAAUUGAACUUACCCCAUUUAUAAUCCCAAUUUCACCAAACUUAAACUAUCGCUACACUCUUGAAAAUAUUGCAACAUUGACCUGAAUUCAUCCUGGUCAUGAAUUGAGAGGAGGAAUUGAAUUCUAUAGUUGUUUGUUGGGUUUAUAUCCUCAGCACAACCCUUAUCUUACUUCUUUCACAAUCCGUUGGGGAGAAGUUUAAAAUAAAGACGAGAGAGUCUCGUCAGAUCAUAGUUUUAAAAACCUUAUUUGCGUGAAAAUUUCUAGUACUAUCGAAGUAUCUACUACUUUCAUUCAUAAUUUAAUACAUUGGUUAAUUUUAUGGGCCAUAUUAAUAUGAAUAAUUCUCUAUACUAUUGUAGUUAAUCACUAAUCACCUACUUAGGUGUUUUGCAAUCAACAUUAGAUGAGUAACAUUCUUAAACUAAAAUUAAAUUAGAACUUUCUAUUUAAAAAUUGUAAACAACAUAUAUGUAUGUUUUGGAAGCAACAUAUGAAAACAAUGUCUAGAAAUAGAGUUAAAGGUUUGAUGAAACAAAGCUUCUUGUUCUUGAUACAUUAUUUAUAACAAAUCGAAUAGAAAAGGAUUCAAACCUUUGAAGGAGAGAGAUUGGGUACUUUACUCAGCAAAGUUUGGUAUCACAUCAACACAAUUAGGGGUGUGACGAUAUAAUUUAGUUGGGAUGUCAUUUGUAGGAAGGGAGAAUAAUUGAAUAUGAUACCUUUUAUAGAUAUUGCAUUGCUGGCAAGCAAUUAUAGGUUGGAGCAUUGAUGAAGGAAUGAUGAAGUCUAAGUUAUGGAAAAGGCCUUAACAAUGGCUUACAAAGGAAUCCCCAUUUCCAAUCUGUCAUCCCCAAACACCACAUGAUAUGUCCUUUAAUUCCCUCCUCAUUUCUACACUAAUUUUAAUUAUGCAUAAGGUCCUUUAUAUACUAUAGCCUCCUCAUUUGACCCAUUGUUUUACCAUACAAUUCUUCCCAUUUUAUUCACUCCUCCAAAUAUCUUAUAACACUAUCUUAACAUUUUUUCUUCCCACUAUGGUUUCUCUUUUCCUUCUAGAAAGUAGGUUAAUUUAUCUAUUAUUAAAAUGGUACAUACUAAUAAUUGAUAGCCUUUAUUUAUUUUAAAAUCAUAUAGUAUGCAAUGAAUGUGAUUGAAUUUCUUUUUCAAAAGGUUUGUAAUGUGAAUCUAAGCAUGAUUUGAUGGAAACAUAUUGAUUUCUUCAACGUUCAAGUUUUGAUCUCUUGCACCUAUAUUUAUUGAGUUCUAAAAAAUUACAAAAUAAAAUUACAAAAUUAUACACGUAAAAACUAUAUAAUGUCUAAAUUUUUCCUGCCCAAUUUUCAAUAUGUUACAAAGUUUUAAGUUUUAAUAAAAACUAUAGGUAGGUUCUACAAAUUUAUACGUCCUAAGUUCACUAGGCUUAUUAAGAUUUUAUAUCAAAUGCCCACUUAAAUUAUAGGUCUGAAAAAAAGUACUAAAUAAAUAAAUAAAAAGAGUACAUGAAAUUUUGGAAUUUUUGUUAUUUAAAGCUAAAAAGAUAUAGCAAUAAGUUUAUAAAGAGAAGAAGAGGAAUAUUUUCUUUUUCUAUGUAUAAAACAAACACAAAAAGUAGUACAUUUAUUGAAUUUAUGUAAUAUAAAUUUCAAUUUCUUUUUUAGCUCACCAAACGAGUUUGAAGAUUUGAAUAUCAAACCUUUUGAAAAAUCAUAAUUUCAUUUCAUUCAUUACUCAUUUUGAAAUAAUUUUAAACAUUUAAAAAAUAGUUUCCUCACUAAUUUUAUGCGUUUUCAAAAUUGAAAUUCAAUACAAGAUUAAAAUCAAAAUUAUUAGAUCAUUCAAUUCAUUAGUGUCAUUGUGAACCCCAACUUAAGAAAGAGGGCUCAAAACAGAACAAUGUGUUGGGGGGAGACAGAGAAAUGGAGCAACUUUGUGAAAAGAAUAAAAAAGUAAUGUGAAAAGAGAGGACAGUGGCCUAGAUUCAAGCAAAAAAAAGAGAUAUAUAAUCUCCAUUAUAGAUAGAUUAUGUAUAUAAUAGAACCAAAUAAGUUCAAAAGAAUGAAUGGGUUACCACCAUUUUUCAUUCCCUACAUUCUUCAUCUUCACUUUCUGUAAAAAUUAUUUCAGUUUCAUACACAUCAUUCAUUUCAUUCUUUCAAUUUUGAACAAAAUCCCUAUUCACCACCAAAAAAAAUCACAUUCCUUUUUAGAGAAAAAAAAGAAGGGGACAUUCUGUUCAUUAAAAAGGAAAAAAAGAAAGAGAAAGAAAAAAGAAUUGUUUUUGCAUCUUUGAAGAUCUUCUCAUCUUGCUUCUUUCAAUAAUCUGCACAAAAGAAGAUCAUCCCAAUUCUCAAUACUCACAGAAAUUCAGAGAAGAAGAUUUGAAAAUAACAAUAUAACAAAGAAAGAAAUCUUAUGUGCUUACUUACCAUCAUGUUUUUUCAUUAACCCUCUUGCAAAAAGCAAACAAAUGACAACAAAUGCCACUCCUGCUGUUGAUCCAAGAAUUAUAGCCACUGUUUUCCCUAUAUUUCCUCCUGUUGUUUCACUUCCAAUAUUAGACAAAACCAAAAUCUCUUUGCUUUAAAAUAUUGAUAUAACUAAAUUCGCCAUAACCCAAUGCUAGUUUUUGGAUUAUUUAGCAUUUAACAUAGUAUUGAAGUGGAAGUCUUGUAUUUGAACUCCUAUAAACGUUGUGGGUUAUUGAUUGAUUUAACGUAGUAUGUGGAGGUGUUACACGUAAUAUUCGAGCUCCGUUUUCUUCUCAACUAGUAAUGAUUUUCAUUUGUUAGGUGUCGAAUUUUCAGACCCAAGUGGGUGAGAUUUAACGUUUGAGUGUUGUUUAAAAAUGGAAUAUACAGGCCAUUGGAGCCUUACCUGAUGAGGAGGAAGAUGAAGAUGAUGGUGAUGAUGAUCUUGUGGGCACCCCAUUUGGGUAAUAACUGUAACUUAUAAAGCAUCUGUGGAGAUAAAGUUGGCCUGAAAUUGAGC